rnacentral:rRNA from 1 species
ACGCUCGACACCUACGGGAGGCAGCAGUGGGGGAUAUUGCACAAUGGGGGAAACCCUGAUGCAGCAACGCCGCGUGAAGGAAGAAGGUCUUCGGAUUGUAAACUUCUGUCCUCAGGGAAGAUAAUGACGGUACCUGAGGAGGAAGCUCCGGCUAACUACGUACCAGCAGGCGGUAAUCUGAGCGGGCUGGCAAGGC